GAUGAACACUGGCGGCGUGCCUAAUACAUGCAAGUCGAGCGAACAGACGAGGAGCUUGCUCCUCUGACGUUAGCGGCGGACGGGUGAGUAACACGUGGAUAACCUACCUAUAAGACUGGGAUAACUUCGGGAAACCGGAGCUAAUACCGGAUAAUAUAUUGAACCGCAUGGUUCAAUAGUGAAAGACGGUUUUGCUGUCACUUAUAGAUGGAUCCGCGCCGCAUUAGCUAGUUGGUAAGGUAACGGCUUACCAAGGCGACGAUGCGUAGCCGACCUGAGAGGGUGAUCGGCCACACUGGAACUGAGACACGGUCCAGACUCCUACGGGAGGCAGCAGUAGGGAAUCUUCCGCAAUGGGCGAAAGCUUGACGGAGCAACGCCGCGUGAGUGAUGAAGGUCUUCGGAUCGUAAAACUCUGUUAUUAGGGAAGAACAAAUGUGUAAGUAACUAUGCACGUCUUGACGGUACCUAAUCAGAAAGCCACGGCUAACUACGUG
rnacentral:rRNA from 1 species